rnacentral:rRNA from 1 species
UACGGGGGGGGGCAAGCGUUGUUCGGAAUUACUGGGCGUAAAGGGCGCGUAGGCGGCCACCGCGCGUCGGCUGUGAAAUCUCCCGGCUCAACUGGGAGGGGUCAGGCGAUACGGCGGGGCUCGAGGCAGGUAGGGGGAAGCGGAAUUCCCGGUGUAGUGGUGGAAUGCGUAGAUAUCGGGAGGAACACCAGUGGCGAAGGCGGCUUCCUGGACCUGAUCUGACGCUGAGGAGCGAAAGCGUGGGGAGCGAUCCGG